rnacentral:rRNA from 1 species
CUCAAAAUGGGUGGUAAAUUUCAUCUAAAGACUAAAUACUGGCUGGAGACCGAUAGCGCACAAGUAGAGUGAUCGAAAGAUGAAAAGCACUUUGGAAAGAGAGUCAAACAGUACGUGAAAUUGUUGAAAGGGAAGSGCUUGCAACCAGACCUGUCCGUAGGUGAUCAGCCGCUGUUMUCAGUGGUGCACUCGCUCUGCGAUCAGGCCAGCAUCGGUUCGGGCGGUCGGAUAAAGGCCUUGGGAAUGUAGCUUCCUUCGGGGAGUCUUAUAGCCCUCGGUGCAAUGCGGCCAGCCGGGACCGAGGACCGCGCUUCGGCUAGGAUGCUGGCGUAAUGGUUGUAAGCGACCCGUCUUGAAACACGGACCAAGGAGUCUAACAUCUAUGCGAGUGUUUGGGUGUCAAACCCAUGCGCGGAAUGAAAGUGAACGGAGGUGAGAACCCUUAAGGGCGCAUCAUCGACCGAUCCAGAUGUCUUCGGAUGGAUUUGAGUAUGAGCAUAGCUGUUGGGACCCGAAAGAUGGUGAACUAUGCCUGAAUAGGGUGAAGCCAGAGGAAACUCUGGUGGAGGCUCGCAGCGGUUCUGACGUGCAAAUCGAUCGU